rnacentral:rRNA from 1 species
UACGUAGGUGGCAAGCGUUGUCCGGAUUUACUGGGCGUAAAGAGCGCGCAGGCGGUCGUGCAAGUCGCGUGUGAAAGCCCCCGGCUCAACUGGGGAGGGUCACGCGAUACUGUUCGACUCGAAGGCAGGAGAGGGAAGCAGAAUUCCCGGUGUAGUGGUGAAAUGCGUAGAUAUCGUAAGGAAGACCAGUGGCGAAGGCGGGUCUCUGGACAGUUCCUGACACUGAGGCACGAAGGCCAGGGGAGCAAACGGG